GUGUCCGUAGUGUAGUGGCCUGCAUUUCGGGUUGUGGCCCCGAAGGUACCGGAUCGAUACCGGUCGGAUACCCCA
rnacentral:tRNA from 1 species